rnacentral:rRNA from 1 species
GCAGUAGCCGCGGUAAUACGUAGGGUGCAAGCGUUAAUCGGAAUUACUGGGCGUAAAGCGUGCGCAGGCGGUGUUGUAAGACUGAUGUGAAAUCCCCGGGCUCAACCUGGGAACUGCAUUGGUGACUGCAACGCUGGAGUGCGGCAGAGGGGGAUGGAAUUCCGCGUGUAGCAGUGAAAUGCGUAGAUAUGCGGAGGAACACCGAUGGCGAAGGCAAUCCCCUGGGCCUGCACUGACGCUCAUGCACGAAAGCUAGGGGAGCAAACAGGAUUAGAUACCCCCGUAGUCCCUGUCUCUUAUAC